UUUAAUUAAAUUGGUUUUUGAAAUUUAAAUUAGAUGGAUUAGUGAAUUUAUCCCUCUUCUUCUAUUUAAAGUGGGUUAAUCCAUUAUUCAACACCUAGCCACUUUAAUAUUGCUCUUUGAAGUGUCAAUCAGCAAUAUUUGGAAAGUGCUUGCAUAUGAGAGCUAAAUAUAUACUUCAAUUAUCAUAAUUGAAGGUGACUUGCAUGCUGUUUUUGUGAAAAUUUUCUGAAAUUUUUGAAACUCUCUCAACCCUCCUCAAUCCCAACCUUAAUCCAUCUCAAUUGAGAGUUUCACCACUCAAAUCUAAGGCUGAGAAUAAUAAAGAAGCUCCUCUUUGUGGUCUACUAAGGUUUUAGAGAUUCAAUUCAUGGAAUUCAGCAAGGAAUUGAAGAGAAUCAGCAAAGCGUCCACAAGUUCAACUUGGUCAGUAAGAGAAGUACUCAUCCCAAAGACCUUUUAAUUUCGAAAAAUAGGUUGUAACGGAAUCUUGCUCUUGUUUGAACUUACUCAAAUUUAUUCUUAAAUGAAAUAUUUGUGGUU